rnacentral:rRNA from 1 species
UGCAAGUCGAGCGGACAGAUGGGAGCUUGCUCCCUGAUGUUAGCGGCGGACGGGUGAGUAACACGUGGGUAACCUGCCUGUAAGACUGGGAUAACUCCGGGAAACCGGGGCUAAUACCGGAUGCUUGUUUGAACCGCAUGGUUCAAAUAUAAAAGGUGGCUUCUGCUACCACUUACCGAUGGACCCCCGGCGCAAUAACUAGUUUGUGAAGUAAUGGCUCACCAAGGGCACCAUUCCUAACCCAACUGAAAAGGUGAUCGGCCACACUGGGACUGAAAAACGGCCCAAAAUCCUACCGGAAGCAACAAUAAGGAAUCUUCCGCAAUGGACCAAAGUCUGACCGAACAACCCCCCGUGAGUGAUGAAAGUUUUCCGAACCUAAAGCUCUUUUGUUAGGGAAAAACAAGUACCGUUCCAAUAAGGCGGUACCUUUACGGUACCUAACCAGAAAGCCACGGCUAACUACCUGCCAACCACCCCGGUAAUACCUAAGUGGCAAGCGUUGUCCGGAAUUAUUGGGCGUAAAGGGCUCGCAAGCGGUUUCCUAAAUCUGAAGUGAAAACCCCCGGCUCAACCGGGGAAGGUCAUUGGAAACUGGGGAACUUGAAUGCAAAAAAAGAAAAUGGAAUUCCACCUGUAACGGUUAAAUGCCUAAAAAUGUGGAAGAACACCAGUGGCCAAAGCCACUCUCUGGUCUGUAACUGACGCUUAAGAGCCAAAACCUGGGGGAACCAACAGGAAUAUAUACCCCGGGUAGUCCACGCCCUAAACCAAUAAUGGUAAGUGUUUAGGGGGUUUCCGCCCCUUUAUGCUGCCACUAACGCCUUUAAACACUCCCCCCCGGGGGAGUACAGGUCCCCAGAACUGAAACUCCAAGGGAAUUGACAGGGGGCCCGCGCCAAGCCGUGGGAAG